UACGUAGGGGGCAAGCGUUGUCCGGAUUUAUUGGGCGUAAAGAGCGUGUAGGCGGUUUGGUAGGUCCGCUGUGAAAACUCGAGGCUCAACCUCGAGACGCCGGUGGAAACCAUCAGGCUAGAGUCCGGAAGAGGAGAGUGGAAUUCCUGGUGUAGCGGUGAAAUGCGCAGAUAUCAGGAAGAACACCCGUGGCUAAGGCGGCUCUCUAGUACGGUACUGAUGCUGAGACGCGAAAGCGUGGGGAGCGAACAGG
rnacentral:rRNA from 1 species